rnacentral:rRNA from 1 species
ACGGCGGGUGCUAACGUCCGUCGUGAAGAGGGAAACAACCCAGACCGCCAGCUAAGGUCCCAAAGUCAUGGUUAAGUGGGAAACGAAGUGGGAAGGCUCAGACAGCCAGGAUGUUGGCUUAGAAGCAGCCAUCAUUUAAAGAAAGCGUAAUAGCUCACUGGUCGAGUCGGCCCGCGCGGAAGAUGUAACGGGGCUAAACCAUGCACCGAAGCUGCGGCAGCGAACGUAUCACUUAAAUUUGUUUGAGUGAAUAACGAUUGACGGAACGAAGUGACGUCAAUGCGUUAAUGAAAGUCGAGGCGAAAGCACGACAAAGCGAAUUUAAGGAUACGUUCGUUGGGUAGGGGAGCGUUCUGUAAGCCUGCGAAGGUGUACUGUGAGGUAUGCUGGAGGUAUCAGAAGUGCGAAUGCUGACAUAAGUAACGAUAAUGCGGGUGAAAAACCCGCACGCCGGAAGACCAAGGGUUCCUGUCCAACGUUAAUCGGGGCAGGGUGAGUCGACCCCUAAGGCGAGGCUGAAAAGCGUAGUCGAUGGGAAACGGGUUAAUAUUCCCGUACUGGUGGUAACUGCGAUGGGGGAACGGAGAAGGCUAGGUUGUCCGGGCGACGGUCGUCCCGGUUCAAGCAGGUAGGCAGAGUGAUUAGGCAAAUCCGGUCACUUAAUGCUGAGAUGUGAUGACGAACCACCAAGGUGGUGAAGCAAUUGAUGCCCCGCUUCCAGGAAAAGCCUCUAAGCUUCAGGUUACCAACAAUCGUACCCCAAACCGACACAGGUGGUCAGGUAGAGAAUACUCAGGCGCUUGAGAGAACUCGGGUGAAGGAACUAGGCAAAAUGGUGCCGUAACUUCGGGAGAAGGCACG